rfam:Ipomoea nil DNA, scaffold: scaffold2283, cultivar: Tokyo-kokei standard.
GGGGGUGUAGCUCAAAUGGGAGAGCACUCACUUCGCAUGUGAGAGGCACGGGGUUCGAUUCCUCGCACCUCCA